rnacentral:tRNA from 1 species
GGCCUCGUGGCCUAAUGGCUAGGGCGCUAGAUUUCGGUGCUCCAUCAGCAGAUUCUCUAGAGAUUGUCGGUUCGAGUCCGGCCGAGGUCG